rnacentral:lncRNA from 1 species
UUUGUUGCAUGAUUCUAAUGUCCAAGGGAAUUUGGGUUUCUAAAUGGUAUUCUUGUCUAUUGGAUUGCAGCCCAUUGGUCAGAUCUUUUCAACUCUUAACUUUUAAAUUUAUGCUUAGGUAUAGUCUCUUCUUCUCCUCCCCAUCUCUUUAGUUUCAAAAUCUCUCCCUCCUUUUAAAAAACUUCUUUGUUUGUACUUAUUUUUUUCUAAACUUAAACCAUUUUGCACACUAGAAACUUUGGCCUUAU